UUCUUUGUCUUUGUAACUGGUGCCGGUUUAAAAGCCGGAGAAUAGGGAAGUACGUGAGAUUCGUACACUGUACCCGCAACUGUUACAACGGUUUGCUUUCGUUCUGUUCGUCGUGGCCACACGACGCCGGAGCGGAGGUUCUCCAGAGUCACUGCGCUUCGAUUUCCGCCCGGAAAUGCGCGGGAAGGCUCUGAAGAGAUAUUUAUCCGUUGAAAGUCAGGAGACCUGCCAGCUACGAUUUGCUCGA
rnacentral:ncRNA from 2 species